GUCUCUUUUGAGACAUCCAAAUAAAUUGGAAUGAGAAGAGAAGAUUGGCAUGGCCCCUGCACAAGGAUAGCAUUAAAUACAAAAUAUAGUCUUUGCAUAAUAUUUUA
rnacentral:snRNA from 1 species